rnacentral:rRNA from 1 species
AUGGCUGCUUCGACUGCUUGCUCGGAUCACUGUCCGUUAGUGCUAGCUGACACCACUGCCCCACCGAGGAGGGCCACUUUCAAAUUUGAAGCAUUUUGGCCGCGCUUCCCGCGCUUCAGAGAGACACUGGAACGGGCCUGGCAGCGGCCUGUUGCGGCAAGGUGCCCUAUCGCAAGAUUAAACACCAAACUGAAGCGGGCAGCUUUUGAUCUCAAGAUUUGGGCUCGUUCCCUGUUCAGUGAUGCCAAAGUGCAGCUCCACCUUGCCGCUGAGGUUGUGCUCCGGCUGGAUAUAGCCCAAGAGGCACGCCGUUUGUCCCCCGCUGAAUUUUGCCUCCGCAAGCAGCUCAAACACAGGAUCGUCGGCCUGGCGGCGAUCGAGCGUGCACGCAAGCGUCAAGCGUCCAAAGUUUCCUGGCUCUGCGCAGGUGACGCCAAGACCGCCUUCUUCCAAGCGAAGGUCAACUCCCGGAGGCGCAAAAACCACAUCCACUCGCUGCAGACUGAAACUGGUGUGGCCACUGCGCACGGAGACAAGGCCACCAUUGCUCACGCCCACUUCCUUCAGCUGCUCGGCACAAGGCGGCCACGCUCCUGCUCGAUCAACUGGGACUCCAUUCUGCUGCCAUCGGUUGAGAAUGUUGGGCUCGACAACCCGUUCACGGAAACUGGGAGGCGAUCUGUUGGAAAUAUGCUCUAG